GACGGGGGAUGCAAGUGUUAUCCGGAAUCAUUGGGCGUAAAGCGUCUGUAGGUGGUUUACCAAGUCUGUUGUUAAAAAUCAGGGCUUAACCCUGAUCCGGCAACAGAAACUAGUAGGCUGGAGUACGGUAGGGGCAGAGGGAAUUCUCGGUGUAGUGGUGAAAUACGUAGAUAUCGAGAAGAACACCAAUAGCGAAAGCACUCUGCUGGGCCGAAACUGACAUUGAGAGACGAAAGCUAGGGGAGCGAAAGGG
rnacentral:rRNA from 1 species